GACCGAUAGCGAACAAGUAGAGUGAUCGAAAGGUUAAAAGCACCUUGAAAAGGGAGUUAAACAGCACGUGAAAUUGUUGAAAGGGAAGCGCUUGCGGCCAGACUCGAGGGGCGGGGUUCAGCGGGUGCGCGUCACCCGUGCACUCCCCGUCCCCCCGGGCCAGCAUCAGUUUCGACGGCCGGUCAAAGGCCCCCGGAAUGUGUCGUCUCUAGGGACGUCUUAUAGCCGGGGGUGCAAUGCGGCCCGCCGGGACUGAGGAACGCGCUCCGGCUCGGAUGCUGGCGUAAUGGCCGUAAGCGGCCCGUCUUGAAACACGGACAA
rnacentral:rRNA from 1 species